GAUAACCCGUCGAAAGGCGGCCUAACACGAUAUGCAGUCCUCCGCAGGCAUCUAACGAGGACGAAAUGUGAAGGAGAAGGAUGGGGAUGCGUCUGAUUAGCUUGUUGGCGGGGUAACGGCCCACCAAGGCGACGAUCAGUAGGGGUUCUGAGAGGAAGGUCCCCCACAUUGGAACUGAGACACGGUCCAAACUCCUACGGGAGGCAGCAGUGAGGAAUAUUGGUCAAUGGGCGAGAGCCUGAACCAGCCAAGUAGCGUGCAGGAAGACGGCCCUAUGGGUUGUAAACUGCUUUUAUGCGGGGAUAAAGUGAGCCACGUGUGGCUUAUUGCAGGUACCGCAUGAAUAAGGACCGGCUAAUUCCGUGCCAGCAGCCGCGGUAAUACGGAAGGUCCGGGCGUUAUCCGGAUUUAUUGGGUUUAAAGGGAGCGUAGGCCGUCUGAUAAGCGUGUUGUGAAAUGUCGGGGCUCAACCUGGGCAUUGCAGCGCGAACUGUCAGACUUGAGUGCGCGGGAAGUAGGCGGAAUUCGUCGUGUAGCGGUGAAAUGCUUAGAUAUGACGAAGAACUCCGAUUGCGAAGGCAGCCUGCUGUAGCGCAACUGACGCUGAAGCUCGAAAGCGUGGGUAUCGAACAGGAUUAGAUACCCUGGUAGUCCACGCGGUAAACGAUGGAUGCUCGCUGUUUGCGUCUGACGUAAGCGGCCAAGCGAAAGCGUUAAGCAUCCCACCUGGGGAGUAC
rnacentral:rRNA from 1 species